rnacentral:rRNA from 1 species
CAGAACAUGGGUGAUAAGGUCCGUGUUCGAAAGGGAAACAGCCCAGACCACCAGCUAAGGUCCCAAAAUAUAUGUUAAGUGGAAAAGGAUGUGGCGUUGCCCAGACAACUAGGAUGUUGGCUUAGAAGCAGCCAUCAUUUAAAGAGUGCGUAAUAGCUCACUAGUCGAGUGACACUGCGCCGAAAAUGUACCGGGGCUAAACAUAUUACCGAAGCUGUGGAUUGUCCUUUGGACAAUGGUAGGAGAGCGUUCUAAGGGCGUUGAAGCAUGAUCGUAAGGACAUGUGGAGCGCUUAGAAGUGAGAAUGCCGGUGUGAGUAGCGAAAGACGGGUGAGAAUCCCGUCCACCGAUUGACUAAGGUUUCCAGAGGAAGGCUCGUCCGCUCUGGGUUAGUCGGGUCCUAAGCUGAGGCCGACAGGCGUAGGCGAUGGAUAACAGGUUGAUAUUCCUGUACCACCUAUA